CCCUCAUCCACUCGCCCGUUGUUGUCACCGCGCGCGCAGCCGCUGAAAAUGAGACACCCACCUAUCGCCGCCGGCACCACCUGCUCGCCGUCUCAUCCCGCCGCUGCCGUCUCUCCGCACCCCUUCCCUCCGACGAACCACAAGCCUCAGCGCACCCGCAUCCGCCUGGCCGCUGCGGCAGGCACCUCCAGGUGGGUCAACCCGCGCGCACCUGCGCCCCCGCCCCGGCGCGGCGCGGGCGGGGGCGGGGCAAACCAGCGGCUGAACCACCUCGUCCGCCUCGGGGACCUCGACGCCGCGCUCCUCCUCGUGGAGUCCAUGCGGGACCCCGACCGCCCCGCCGUGGUCCCCUGCACCCUCCUCAUCAAGAAGCUCUGCGCCGCGGGCCGCCUCGACGACGCCGAGCGCGUGCUCGGGGCGUCCGAGCGCGCGGGCACCGCCGACGCCGUCGCGCGCAACACCCUCGUCGCGGGGUACUGCCGCGCGGGGAGGCGUCUCGCCGACGCGGAGCGGAUGCUGUCCUCCCUCGCGGCGUCCGGCGCCGCCGACGUCGUCACCUACAACACGCUCGUCGCGGGUUACUGCCGCGAGGGCCGCCUCGGCGACGCGCGGCGCCUCGUCGCCGGCAUGCCGCUCGCCCCCAACUCGUACACCAACAGCACCCUGCUCAAGGGUCUGUGCAGCGCCAAGGAGUGGGACGACGCCGAGGAGCUCGUCGCCGAGAUGAUCCGGAGCGGGUGCCCCCCAAAUCAUCUCACGUUUGGUAUGGUGAUCCAUUCCUUAUGCCAGAACGGAUUGGUCGACCGUGCAAUGGGAGUUCUUGAUCAGAUGUCCGAGUGCGGGUGCACGCGGAGCGUGAUUGUUUACAAUGAAAUCAUCAGUUGCCUUGCGGAGCUGGGGCGCGUGGAGGAGGCUCUUGAUUUAUUCAACCGCAUGCCGUGCAAGCCAGACAUCUUUAGUUACAACGCCGCGGUAAAGGGUUUGUGCAGAGGUGAGCGUUGGGAGGAUGCUGGAAAGCUUAUUACUGAGAUGGUUAGGAAGGAUUGCCCCCCAGAUGAAGUGACAUUCAACACAGUGAUCAGUUACUUGUGCCACAGAGGGUUGGUUGAUUGUGCAAUGGAAGUUGUCGAGAAGAUGCCCGAGUAUGGAUGUAAGCCUGAUAAUUUUACUUACAGUGCCCUCGUUAAUGCCUUUUCUGAACAUGGGUGGGUAGAUGAUGCUCUUGAGUUACUAAGAAGCAUACCAUGGAGGCCUAACACUGUUUGCUACCGAUCUGUUCUGAAGGGACUGUGCAGAGCUGAUCGAUGGGAGGAUGUCGGGAAGCUUGUCGCUGAGAUGAUUAGAAACAACCUGACCAUUGAUGAAGUCACAUUUGGGUUGAUCAUUGACUGUUUGUGCCAAAAAGGACUAGUUGGUUAUGGCGUUGAAGUUCUUGAGGAAAUGUCAAACUACGGAUGCUCACCUGACAUUAUCAUGUAUAAUUCUCUCAUCAAUGGCUUUGUUGAAUAUGGGAGUGUGGAUGAUGCUCUCAAGCUAUUCAAAAGCAUGCCAUGCAAACGAAAUGUUGUUACCUAUAAUUAUAUGUUGAAGGGUUUGUGUAGAGCUAAUCAGUGGGAGGAUGCUGGGAAGCUUGUAGCUGAGAUGGGUAACGAUGAGUGUCUCCCAAAUGAAGUAACAUUCAGUACCCUAAUCAGCUACUUGUGCCAAAAAGGGUUGGUUGAGUGUGCAAUUGAAGUUUUUGAGAAAAUGCCAAAGUACAAUUGUUUGCCUAAUGUUAUCAUCUAUAACACCCUUAUCAAUGGCCUUUCUGAACAAGACUGUGUAGAUGAUGCUUUGAAGUUACUAAACAACAUGCCAAGCAAGGCUGACACCAUUUGUUAUAGUUCUGCAUUGAAGGGUUUGUGUAGGGCUGAGCGAUGGGAGGAUGCAGGAGAACUUAUACUUGAGAUGAUUCGAAAGAACUGCCCCCCAGAUGAAGUCACGUUCAGUAUACUGAUCAAUAACUUGUGUCACAAAGGGUUUGUCGAGUAUGCAAUUGAAAUUUCGGAGCUAAUGCAUAAGUAUAAAUGCAAGCCUAAUAUUGUCAUUUACAGUUCUCUCAUCAACGGAUUCUCUGAACAAAAUCGUGUGGAAGAAGCUCUCAAGUUACUAAGAAGCAUGCCAUGUGAGCCUGACACUAUUUGCUACAGCGCUGCACUGAAGGGUUUGUGUAGAGCAAAGCGAUGGGAGGAUGCCAGGGAGCUUAUAGCUGAGAUGUUUAGAAAGCAGUGCCCACCAGAUGAAGCAACAUUCAGUAUGCUCAUUGGUUUAUUGUGCCAAAAUGGGCUGGUUGAAUUGGUAACUGAAGUUUUUGAGCAAAUGUCGGAGUAUGGAUGUAGCCCUAAUAGCAUGAUACGCCAUUCCCUUGUUAACAGCUAUUCUGAGCAAGGAUGUGCGGAUGAAGCACUCAAGCUAUCGGGCAGUAUGGCAGGAAAGCCGCCAAUCUCUGUUGUACUGCAUUGAAGAGCUUUGAGUUGUGAGAAUGCUAAGGAGCUAAAAUGAUUAGGCUGAAGAUGAUCCCAGAUGAUAAGAUGAAUUGACAUCGAUCCCGGAUUAUAAGAUGAAUUGACAUCUAAUACUUAUUAAUUACUUGUGCCAGAAGAAAGUUUGGUUGAAUUCUUGAUUAAUGCGAUGGAUGAUGUCAUCUGCUCAUCAUCAGCUUUUUGGAGAUAAGCUGCAUGAAUGAUUUUUUUGGGAAUGGAAAUAUAACAGGUAAUUGAGAUGGGUGUUUCUGGUAAUUAUUUGGCUGUCAUCAAACAGAAGAAAGAACUAAAAUUUAGUUAUACAAUAGGGUUAUCUAUCUAUCUAUCUAUCCACAAGUGAGAUGGAGACUAUCGCUUGGAGACCUGAAGCGUUUCUUUUUAAUCCGCAAGGACUCUCUGUUGCAUUGGCUUCCACUCCGUAGCAGCCGAGCCAGGCCGCAAAGAAAGAUUUGAGUUAUGCUGCGGUGUGAAGAAAAAGAAGCACAGAAUUCAGUACUGAGCCAGACCAUCAGAACCCUCUUCACAAAAAGGAAAAAAAAAAAGAUCAUCAGAACUCUGCCACAAACCGACAGACUAACGGCGCGGGCGAAGAAAAUAUCUGUAGCUGCAAAAGGUAGCAUUAGUAGGAAUCUGACGAUGCUUCAGUUGAAUGAAUCCAGCGGCCUGCUGACGGGUGCGCUGACGUCAGGGCUGGUCUGUUGGUCGUCCCAUGGCGUGGAGGGCAGCCGCACCGCCCGUUCUCUCUGCAUCAACCGCGACGUCCGUGAAGUUGCGGUCAGUCAGAACAAGCGAUUCGGUGUCGCCGGGCGUGACGGCAUCUCCACUGUAGAAAUUCUGCUCCAGGCUGGUUCCAUUGGCGAAACGACGUCUUCUUCCAUUCGUCCAACGUCCCCGUCGCGGGGUGGACGAACAAAACGAAGCCAUGCCGGCACGGAUGCGUGGUCGCUUCACUGGUUGGAGUAAAGCGUGGUGCAAGGAAUCGUGUAGCAGAGGUCAGGGAGUGAGUCGAGGACACAUGCUACUACCGUUCUGCUCCCUCCAUUCUAAACUAUAUUUAUAAAUUUUAAUAUGCAUCUAGAUAUAUAUUUUAAAUAUAAAUAUGCGAACUAUGAAGAAUCCAAAAGCUUAGUUUCUUUAUUAGUUUCUAGUUACACGUCUGUUUCAGUUUUCCGCUGGAUUUUAUACUGUUCCUGCCAAGAGCAAUAAAAAAACCUUUCCUUUUCCACUUCUUU